GCGCCGGAACAGGACCCGCACACUGCGGGCGGCGCGCGGCCUGGCUCCACCCGGGCUGGGGGAGAAAGGAGGGCCCCAGGCGCCCAGCAUCACUGUUCAAGGCGGCUUCGCAAGGUGAGGGGACCGAGGCCCUCCCUGCGGGAGCUGAAGCCACAACCCAGCUCCGGGUUCAUCCUCAUCUUCGCCGCCCGCUCGCGGGACCCACUCGGGACUCGCGGCCGCGCUCGCCCUUCCAGCCCUGCCCCCGGCCGCGCCGCGCGGGGUAGAAAUCUGCCCGGCAACAGGAGGGGACAACAGAGGGCCACGGAGCAUCCUGAGCGCCUCCCUGUGCCAGCCUGCAACACCCUGUCUGGCCUGGCCAGGGGACCUGGGAUCUGCACCCGCCUCACCAUCCCCAGCUAGGAACUUGAGACCUGGCACCAGCUCUCUACCCUGUGAGAUGUCCAGGCUUCCCAGCGUGUGGUCAGUGGAGGACAAAUCCCAGGCCUCUGGGCCCAAGCGUCAUCUCGCCACAGGACCCAUUCACCCGCCCAGCCCUCUCCAAGCCUCACGAGAACAGAUGUCUCUGUGGGAGCCCUGGAGCCCUGGAGCCCUGGAGCCCUGUCCGGCACCAGUGGGCACCCCCUUGACUGUACACAGUGUGGAGCACCCACCAGCACGGCCCUCACACAACCCUGCACGGGGACCCUGAAGCAGCUGCGGUGGGGGGACUUGGUCACAGGGCAGAGGGAGCAGGCGCAGGCAAGCUCGCAGGGUGCGCAGCAGCCCUGAAAAGGGCCUUGCACUGCAGCCCAAAGCCCACACCACAUACCCAGGUCAGGGGAGCACCCUCAACCAACACCAGCAAGGCCCCAAGUCCACACUGGAGAGCUCACCAGGACACUGGUUUAACGUAUAAAAUUAUAUGAACUAUUUAUGAAAUUAUCUCCACUGUGUGAGGUGUCUGGGAAGCAUAAAGGACUCUGGUGUGGGACAUGGGUCCCCUCCCCAGCUCACAGUGUAUAUCCGGAUGUCCUAAAUCCAAAUGGUGUGACCUCAAACACUUCCGACUGCAACACAGACACCUGCAUUGCUCGGCAGGACCCGCAGCCCCGAGAUACCGCCCUCAUCUCAGGUGAGGAAGCCGAGGCUGGGAGCAGCCGUCUCAUCCAGUUCUGAGGUGGCAGACAGACCAGCACCUGCGCAGCUGUGUUCCAAAGUGCAGAGCCACGCUGGACCCUCUACCAGCACACUAGGGCUCUGCAGGCCAGGGUCGGGGGUCAAACAGGACAGGCAGAGCCCACCCGGGGCAGAACAGUGCUCCCCACGCCUGCAUGCUGCAGCCCAGGGAGCCACAAGGGGCUCAGGUGGAAGAGGUCAGCCUGGAUGGAGCAGAGGAUCCAGGAAGACGUCCAGCCCAAGGGCCAUCCACACUGCAGAGGGAAAGCAGGCGGUGACACUGAGGGCUGGAGCACCUGCAGCCAGGUGGGAGCAGGAGGCUGUGCCCCAGCUGCACCCUCUCUGCCACCCUUGUCCCUGGACCCCUCUGGAACUACAUCUGACUGUGGAACCAGCCUCCUGCCCGUUCAGCAAGGCCUCCACCACCCAUCUUCACCCAGCUGGGUGGUUCGCAAGGGGCAGGGGCUCCUCUAUACACGUGUGGGGGCUGCAUUCAGGGGCACUCAGACCUAGCCAGGCCACAGGGCCACUCCAGCCUCAUCCACAACACAGAAGGCCAAGGCAUGACCAUGAGGGUUAAUAAACAGCUUUAUUUACCUUGUACAGCGUUCACGUCCUUACAUUCUCAAUUAAUUUUGCCAUUAAAGUGCCAGAAAUGUUUUAAAUCAUAACAUUUGUUAAAAGAAAUCAGAACUACCAUCAGGAGCAUGCUGGUCAUGGAUGGAACGUUUCUCUUACAGAACACAGGAUGGGACCCCCUCAUGUCCAGCUGCGGGCUGAGUAACUCACACCCAGAUCCUAGUUCCCUCCCUCCUGACACCAAGAUGGCCGGGACCAUCACCCACCACCAGGGAGCUGUGGGGAGCACAGCAGACGCCCGGCAGCUGCCAGCUGUUGGGGCCGCAUGGGCUGUGGCCGUUGGCAGAGAUCCCAUCCCAGGAGGGUGACAACUCAGCCCCCACUGCUUCCCCCCUCCCUCACCAAAAGCCCCGAAAGUCAUUACAAUAUAGAACAGUGGGUGUCCGUUUCCCCAACACUAAAAAUGUUUGGUACAAAUGAGGAUAAUAAACACAAAAGCUUGCUUAGUAAACAGGAGCUCUCAGCGUUCAAUGCAAAAAAAAA